CCGCACAAGCGGUGGAGCAUGUGGUUUAAUUCGAUGCAACGCGAAGAACCUUACCUACCCUUGACAUCCUGCGAAUUUGGUAGAGAUACCUUAGUGCCUUCGGGAGCGCAGUGACAGGUGCUGCAUGGCUGUCGUCAGCUCGUGUUGUGAAAUGUUGGGUUAAGUCCCGUAACGAGCGCAACCCUUGUCCUUAUUUGCCAGCACGUAAUGGUGGGAACUCUAAGGAG
rnacentral:ncRNA from 1 species